GCCGAGGUAGCUCAGUCCGGCAGAGCAACCGCCUUGUAAGCGGUCGGUCAGGGGUUCGAAUCCCCUCCUCGGCUCCG
rnacentral:tRNA from 1 species